GUUAUAAAGUAAUAAAAUAACAGACGUUUAUUAUCAAUAAAAGAUACUUCCCGUUUCUAUCUUUGACGUAAAGCUCAUUUUUUCUUCCAACGAGUCCAACGAGUGGCAAGUUUGGAAAGAGUUAUAUUUUGAUGAGCGUUGGUCUCAAAGUUCUAACCAUGAAACUUUUAAGGCAUGUCUUCGUAUUGGCUAUUCUCUUUUUCGUGACUGUAACCUCUUUACCCCGUUUUGAUCUAGAUUACUAUAAUAUGGAAGAAAGAGAUGAAUCUUUGGUUUGCGAUGAAAAUAACUUGUUUGAAAAAAGAGAAGAGCAAUGUCAAGGCCCAGUCGCCCUCCACUAUGUAAUUCCUUUGAGAACGUGGGAGGGGUUAAUGAAGAUUGAUGACAUCUCGGAAACAGGAAGACACCUUCAUGUUCAGGCCUUGUUAACUACCCAGAAAGUGUUGGAUAACCACGUCCAGGCUCCUAUGACGUCACGUGACCUCGAGCAUGGACAGUACCUCCUAUAAACGAAGCCACGGCACGCCGCACACUACGUCACUAAAGUCGUCCUUAUGUACAGAAAGCAUGGUUGCCACAUGAAACCACUUAUCGCUGUUAUUCCUUUAAGAGGAGAGAAAAUGAAAACUAAGCUACAGGCUAAGGCUUUUUCGAGUGCAUCUUGUUCUCUUUUGAGUCUUUUAUGCUCUGGUGAUUCCCUUGAUGAAACACUGGAACUAAGAUGACUCGGACCAUCAGGAAACAGACUUGGAAUUGCACCAUUCU
rnacentral:misc_RNA from 1 species